GAAUCGCAGGCCGUAAACGCAAUGCGUCUCGGAGUGUGGAUGUGUGCGUGAGUAAAUGAGAGACGUCAAAGUGAGUUUGGUUUGUUUACAUUGGCGUACGAUACGGAUGGAGGGUAGAUGUGCCGGGUUAACGCACUUUUUCACAUUAAAACAUGCGAUUGUUUUACGGCACGGUGCACCAUCGAUUGGAAAUGAAUCGGAAUGAAUCAACAGACGGCUGUAGUUGAGUAUUUUCGAGCGGUUGCGAGUAACUGCGACUGUCAGCGCUUAGCAUUGGCGGUGGUGCGCCCGUACCGUCGAAAUUCGUUUCCAGCAACGCUUCCGACUUGGAGCGCGCAUAGUUGGCCCGCGUCGUCGGCGAAGGAUCCAUGAUGGGUGAGACGGCCGGCUGCUGCUCGCCGGACGAUUCGUACACCGUUUUUGGCCGUUGGAUGUCGGACCGUGGUGGGGGUGGCAGUAUUGAGUCUCGUUCCCGGCCGGGGGUAGCGUACUUCUUCACAGCCUUCAUGUACGAAUCGGGUCGACGCAUUUGUUCCGGUUCGGGUGGUGCCGGCCGGCGUACCUGUAUCGAGGGUUGCUGGUACACGUGACCGACGGCGGGUGGUGGAAUAACCGGUGGUGCCGGUCUUGCCGGUGGACCUCGCUGUGGUGCGUACGAUGCGGCACCGGACACACCGGACAGGGAUUCGGUUUGCGAGUUUCGAGCCGGCUGGAAGCUGCUGUGGCUGACCGAAGUCGUCGGUGGCUCGUACUCGGGCAGAUGUUGCUUGAGCUCGUGCAGGAACGAAAGCUUAUCCUGCACCCGCAUCGGCAGUGUGCUCGAAUUGCCGUAGUAAUCGGAGCCAGCUUCUUCGACAUCUUCCUCACCACCACCACCACCACCACCACCCGGUGCGUGAAUGAUGGGCGAUUCCUCGUUGAUGGCAGUGCUUAGCGAGUUGUUACGGGUCACGCCCGAGUAGGUGGUGGACGUGUCCCGGAAGCCUUCGUUACGGAAUGCAAGCUCGAGCGCGAUACUUCCACCAUGGCUGCUGUACUCCGGCAGCCCGUACACUUUCGUCUUUGCCGGCCCCGUACCGUUGUUUGCGGCUGGGAUGUACUCGGACGGUGCUCCAUUGCUUUCGCUGUAACCGAGCUGACUCUUCAGCUGCUCGGCGUACUCGUUGCUGUACUGUUGCUUCUGCUUCUGGUCGUAAACGUCGUAGCUGGUUUCGGUGCUGAGGACACUCUUGUCCACGGAUUCGAUCGAACCGUUCGAUGCCAUUCGUUUGUAGUCGUUCGUUGUAGCUGUUCGUAGCGUGUCCGUCGAACGGGACAUUGCCUGGAAGGGAGAGAAAGCAGCAAAGGAAACAUUAGGGAAAAGAAAUCGAAUAUUGAAAGCUCCAUUAAUCUAGCACACAAAAAAUGAAAUACAAGCAUUACAUUAAAACACUCGACAUUUAUCAAAAUCAUGCCAUAACAGACGAGCCACAAAAACCAUUCACUUACGACAUUCACUGUCGACCACCUUUAAACUGAUGUUGGCUGCCAUAUCGUGUAGUAUGUGUGUGUGCGUGUAUGUUUGCAAAAAUAAAUUUUGGUGAAAUAAAUGACGGGCUCCCACAGCGCUUCACCCACAUCCCACCACACUUCCCGCGUUAAG